rnacentral:lncRNA from 1 species
GUCUUGCAUAUCUACACCCAAGCUUUUAAAACUAAACAAUUUAUGUAAAUCUUAUAAAGAUACUGUAUAAUACUAUGUAUGUUAGAUCCAUGUCUCUUUUCAAUUUGAGGAUUUUAUAUGGAAAGUCAUGGGAUACAUGUACUUUUGAAUAACCACCUUCCCAGAGCCAUACAGUUAUUUGACAAUAAUUUGGUAUUUCUGCCUUUUGUUAUUUAGGACCAACGAUGCUUAAAAAAGGUAUUUUUAGGGGCCAGCCCUGUGGCGCAGUGGUUAAGUUCACACGUUUCAGUUCAGUGGUCCAGGGUUUGCUGGUUCAGAUCCUGGGUGUGGACCUACACAAUGCUUGUCAAGCCAUGCUGUGGCAGGUGUCCCACAUGAAAUAGAGGAAGAUGGGCACAGAUGUUGGCUCAGGGCCAAUCUUCCUCAGCAAAAAGAGGAGGAUUGGCAGCAGAUGUUAGCUCAGGGCUAAUCUUCCUCAAAAAAAAGAAAGAAAAAAGGUAUUUUUAUUUAGGAAGUUUGUUAUCUAUUGGUGAUAAUUGUUAAUAAUACUUUGAACAUUUCUAUGUAGUGCUAUACUUUGCCAAUGCUGCCAUCUUCUGGACGCCAUUAAGCACUGUAACAAUCAGAGAAGCUGACAGUGCAUAGUGGUUUCCAAAAGUAAUGCGUAUUAGUGUUAAAAAAAGCUUUCAUUUUCUUUCUUUUUUCUUUUUUUAGUUUGAAAAAAGCCUGGAUAUAUAUAUUUUUUCGAUUUCCCUCAUAAAAUACUUGACUAUCUCCUUACUUUCCUAACCAUGUACUGCUGAAGUCAGAAUGGUAUAGGGUGUAAAAUGGAUAUGCUAAACGUCUUAAUUUUGCCCCUCUGGAUCUGUUAUCCACGCUUUCUACUCUGCUUUGUGUCCUGGGAGGCAGAGGCUGACCUAUAUGGACUAUAGCAACAAGAUUCCUUGACUUUCAACUUCUAAUUGGAUCUGGACAAUAAGAAGCAUUCAAAGGAAAUCAAAGGGGGAGAAGGGAGUAGAGCUGGGUCCCUCAUAUGAGAUCACAGGGCUCUGUCCCUUAACUGAAGGUCAUAUCUCCCAGCAAGGGGCCUUACCAAAAUAGGUCAGUCUGCCUUAGGGAAUUAGUAGUCACUUCCUCCUUGUAUUCUUCAGGGCUGUUCUGAAACCUAGACACUUCACAUCCCCUGUGGCUCCCUACAUUCUGCUCAUACCUUUGUAAAUGAUCCUUUCAUUAAAUAUUCCUUAAAUCACCCAGCUUGAGUAUAUUUCCUGUUGGGACACUGACCAAAACAGUGGGAAUAAUAAUAGCAGUUAACCCAGAGGUGUGUUAUAAGGGUUAAAUAAACUAAGACCUGGCUAGAGCUUAAAUAAUGGCUGAGAAAAGAGAUAAAGAUGAAGGCAGUGGGACAGAAAAUGAUAAUGAUGGAGGAAAAAGAUGCUGCAAUACUAAGAUAAUUGCUAUCCUUCAGUGGUUAGAAGCCCCCCAAAAUGGAAUACUUAUAUUGAAAUAUCUUUAUAGAAAAGAUUCAGAGAUAUACAAGAAAAAAGAUUUCCUGCUAUAAAGGUGUAGCUGAAUCGGCAGAUCAAAAGUUCACAAUGUACAAGAAAAACAGCUUUAGGAUGAUCAACAAUAAGACAUGAGAAAAAGAAAGAAUUCUUUAAGCAACCAGCUCCCCCUAAAAAAAAGUCCCCUAUGAGGAGGAAAAAUAAAAGAUUGGUUCAUACUAAUAUUUAAUUCCAGAAGACAUUAAGGUCUACAAAAUUCUAAGGGAAAGAUGACACAAGAUUAUAACCAAAUACAGCUUUCCUUAGUGUCAAGGAAUUCCUUGAUUAAAAGAUGUCUAUUUUUGGAAUAUUGUAUUUCACAAUAGGCAUUCCUAAGGGAGUCUUAAUUUUAUCUGUGGUCAUCAGUGUAUAUUGUACCAUGAUGGUAAAAGCUUAUCUAUUAAACAAAUUAUGAACAUGUUUUUAGAAAAUACCUGGUAAAAUGACACAAUGCUUGUAAUUUGUAAACUAAACCAUGUAUUUGAAGUCAUGCACCCCCUUUUUUCAAUCGUCAGAGACAUGUACCAUUUGUCAGGGACGUCAUCCUUGGUUGUGAUAAAAAGACUCAAAAGUUUACACGGUGUAUUUUUACCCUUUCUUGUUUAUGCUCAUAUAUCUCCAUUAUAUAAUAUGUUAAUAUGGGCUCAAAUAAAUAGGAUUCCAUACACAAAAUUAUAGCCAGCUGUUAUGGGCUGAAUUGUGCCCUCCCUCACUCAAAUUCAUGUGUUAAAGUCCUGGUCCCAGUACUUCAGAAUAUGACUGUGUUUGGUGAUGGGGUCUUUAUAGGGGUAAUUAAGUUAAAAUGAAGUUAUUAGGGUGCAUCCUAGUCCAAUAUGACUGUGUCCUUAUAAGAAGAGGGAAUUUGGACACUGAUCUGUACGGAGGGAAGAUGUGUGAAGAUAAAGGCCAUGAAGUAGGACUAGGUGUUCUGAAAAUCUGCCACCACCUGUUCAAGCAAAUAGUUUAUGCUCAGUACAUUUUUGAGACUGAUAUUAUAUAUACUGUGAUGGCCGUUGUGUCUGCUCAACACAAUAUUUGUGACGAGCAGCUCAGUUCCUUUGGUCAUGUGAGGCUGAUGAUUAGGCAUUUAAUCUUUACCAAGGCUCGGUAGAACUCCAGGACACAUUUCUUCAGAGAUGUUAGCUGCAGGAGGAAACAUGGCUCUUCCCCACUACUUUAGAUGGCUACACUGUAAUUCUCCUAUUGCCACUUUCCAGCGUUCGAUCUGAAUAAUACUCAAGCUGCUGCAAAAGCUGGGUAUCAUUGGCUCUGCUCAGCCAUAAGGCCUAAGUGGCAGAACAGCUUCCUUCAUUACAUCCAGGACCUGUUGCAGAGUUUUUUGUUGCUUGCGGGCCCCUUCAAACUGGCAGCACACUCAAAUAUGUAUUUAUCACCCUCAAAAUCAAGAGAGACCCAAAAAGUAUAUCCCUUUUCUCCUUGAGAAGUGCUUUGUUCAGCAACUUGUCCCUUAUUUUGGAGGAGCUGUCCUACAUGACCCAGACCACUCAAUCCCUAGAAACUUCUCUUAGGUGGCAGGACCGUGAUUUUAGUGGGGUUUAUCUCCCAUCCGAUGCCACCUACAUGUGUCACUCUGGUAAAUAGGAUGCUUAUUAUUUCUUGGGUAUCAGGUUGACUCAGCAUGAUGUCAUCCAUGUUGUAGACUGGCAAGAUGUUCUGUGGUAUUUCAAGAUAAUCGGAAUCUCUGUGAACCAGACCAGAGAUUGAUAUUUUCUGUAAAGAGCCAAAAUAGUGGAUAUUUUAGGCUUUGUGAGCCAUACGAUCUCUGUUGCAACUGUUCACCUCUGUGGUUGUAGCAUGAAAACAGCUGUAGGUGAUACAUAGAUACCACAUGAAUGUGAGUGUGUGUCAAUAACACUUUGUUAAUAAACGCUGAAAUUUGAAUUUCAUAUAAUUUUCAUGUGUCAUGAAAUAUUAUUCAUUUUUGGAUUUUUGUCAACCAUUUAAAAAUGUAAAAAUCAUUCUUAGCUUGUGGGCCAUACGAAAAUAAAUGGCGGGCUGGAUUUGGCCUAUAGGUUGCCACUUGCUGACAGCUGGAUUGAAUUAUGGCAGAGAGCAAGAAAAUUGCCAUAGACAACUGCGGCAAACCAUGAAAGCAUAUUGCUGACCCUACCAGGUGAAAGCAAACUGCUCGUGCUUACCUUUAUACUUUGUCAUACUGAAAUAAGCAAAGGAUGUGUCAAUAACUUCAUACUAGAUGGGAGGGGCUAUAUUAAUUCAUUCCAUGAAAGAAGCCAAAUCUGAAAUAGUAGCUGUGGUUGAAGUCACCACCUAAUUAAUUUUAUGAUAAUCCAUAGUCAUUCUCUAAGAUACUUCAGUCUUCUGAAUAUGCCAUAAAGGCAAGUUAAAUAGUAAUAUAAUAGGAGUCAUUAUCCUAGAACCUCUCAGAUUUUUGAUAGUAGCACAACUCUCUGACAUUCCCCCAGGAGUUUCAGAAUGUAAUUAAAAAACAGUUAGUUAGAAAUAUUUAUGUAUAGCAUAAUAAUAAUUAAAAAAUAUAUGUUUAUAUGUGUAUAAAAUAUAUACAAAUAUGUGUUACAAUGUUGAAUUGGUUAUUACCUGGUUGUGUGAUUAUGGGUAAUUUUUUUUUCUUAAAGAUUGGCACCUGGGCUAACAACUGUUACCAAUCUUCCUUUUUCUUUUUCAAAGAUUGGCACCUGGGCUAACAACUGUUGCCAAUCUUUUUUUUUUUUCCCCUGCUUUAUCUCCCCAAACCCCGCCUGUACACAGUUGUAUAUCUUAGUUGCACAUCCUUCUAGUUGUGGGAUGUGGGACACCACCUCAACGUGGCCUGAUGAGUGGUGCCAUGUCUGCACCCAGGAUCCGAACCCUGGGCCGCCGCAGCGGAGCGCAUGAACUUAACCACUCGGCCACGGAGCUAGCCCCUGGGUAAUUUUUUUACUUUUGUGCUUUUUAAUAUUUUCCAUUACUUAUAGUAAAAAUGUAUUCCCUUACAGUCAGAAAAGACUCUAAUUUAUUUUUGUAAGAAUCACUGUUAAAGUCAAUACUAAAUUUAUCUGGAUGAGGUAUAUGAAAUAAUCCUGAGAAUAGUUGAUACCAGCGCUAACCUCAGCAGAUGUAAAUAUUUGAGUCAUAAUCACUGUACCAAUUUCAAUUAGCUCAUUAUUGUUAUUUUAUGAUUUAAUUAAAUGUUUGAAGUAACAUACAUCCAGUCUUUAUUAUUAUGCAUAUAUUUUCAAAGAGAAUUCUAAAAGCUCUGGCUUCCAAGUGAAAGAGUAUUAAUGAAUGGAGCCUAUUUAUAAAUGCUUCUUAAACUAUGUUAAUGAUGUGUGAAAUAUGGGGCACUAAACUAACUAGGCAAUUCAGUGAUGCCGUCGUCAGCCACGGUGCUGCACGUGAAGACGGUUUGUCCCUGUCGUGCUGUGGUGAGGCAGAGGGUGUGUGAAUGCUCGGUCACCACUGCACACCUAGACUCCUAGUGCCCCUCUUAGCACUGCCACUAUUAAUUAGAGAACGAGGAAAAAAGAUUAUGACUGUUUGUUUGUCUUCUUGAUAUUUUCCUUGAGUUUUCUCUAUCUUCUGAGGCUUUAAAAUUCUAGGCUUGGAAAUCAUAGCUCAUUCCUGGGGUCCUAGUGAUUUUACUGCCACUCAGCAUAAUGAAGAGAAAGACUUUCAACAAGUGCUUUCUUCAAGAGGGCCUUUCUAGGCUUUUCUCACCUGGGUGUGUUGACUGGUGCUCAUAGUGAGGAUGAAAGCAAGGUAUUGUCGGAGAAGGUAAGUUCAGGGAAAGGCUUUGACCUCCUGAAAAUGAGAGGGUCUUAGACACUUAGACAAGUUAUCUGAUGUGAGAAAACCCUUCCAUAGCCCUUAUGUUUGGGGGAGAAAGUGUGUAGAAACAGCAAGGGAGCACUCGGCUGGCAGUUUCAGUUUUUCAAUGUUCAGAAGGUGUGAUGAGUUAUAUGCUCUCUAGGGCCUUGGAGCGCCUCUUCCUCUCUGGCGCCCUGGCUUACGUCUCUCUAACACUAAGCACGCUGGGUUCUAAUUACUGACAUCCUGGGUGGCACUUGUGCCUCGCCCUGCCUGCCUGCUCACCAAACUGUGAGCUGCUUGAGGUCAGGACCAUGUCAUAUUCUACUUUGUAUCCCCAGCAUCCAGUAACUGGCAUGCGCAGGGCACGUGAAAACACAACCUGCAUGAAUGAACUAUUGGGAAAGACUGGUCUGCGGGGACUCUAGCUGUAGGCUCAUCUUCCUCAGUAGUGGGUGUAAGGGGGAUAAGAGGAAGACAGGAAGCAAAUAUGUUUUGAGCUCCUACAUUUAGCCAUUGCAUAUUUUUACUUAAUGCCUUUAAGAUGUGACAUAGGUAUAAUUAUGGCAAUUUUACAGCACGUAGAGUGUGUAAUUUGCCUCAACAAGUGACCAACUCUGAAUAUGAACCCCAGGUUUCUCUCAACUUUAUAACCCAGGUUUCUUUCACUCUAAUAUGCCUUUAGUGACAGUAAUUGGUAGCAUGGUCUCUAUAGAAUAAGAUUAUUGCUACAGACUUAGGAAAAUAGACCCUAGGAGUAUUUGGAGUGGAAGGAGCUUUUUUGAGAUCCUAGCUGUGCAAAGCUUACUUCAGCAGAGUCCUUAUUUCUAGUAUUCCUGCAAACGGCUUCUGAAAGAGGGUUGGUAUAGGGGAGGGAGCGGGUGGCAGGAUAUGUGUAUUGUACCAUUAAGGCCUGGAAAAAUUUGUUCCUUUCAUCUUUCCCCAGUAUGCCUCCUCCUCCAUGAUUCCCCCCUGAUUCCACCUUUCCAUUCUUGUAGUACUCAGUUUGUACCACUCACAAAGCAUUGUCAUACUGCCUUCUAUUGUAAAUGUUUAUGUAUCUGACUUGACUCAAUGUUUAUGUAUCUGACUUGACUCUGGUUCUGUAUUUUCGGUACUUUUGUCUCUGGUUCUAACACAGUGUAGCAAGUAGAUGGUCAAUAAAUGCUUGCCUUUCUCUUUCAAAUUUAUGCUGAAAUCUUUUUAAACUAUUAAGGUAUUUCCCUUUCCUCCAAAUAGAGAGGAACUGCAUGAAGGCGAUCUCGAAGGAUCCACUGAUAUUGUGUGGGAACACAGUGGCCGUGGUGAUGUGUUGCCUAGAUCCUGCUUCAGUGAAGGACUGGUUGUCCCAGCUGCUGGGAGUGGUGUCAGCGGACGGCUUCGGCUGGCACUGUCUUCAGGGAUGGCUUCAGCUGUAAAGAGCUGCCUCAGCCAAGGUCACGCCUGUCCCGGGGCAGCCGACCUCCAGUGACUGGUCGAGGUUGGGGUAUAAAGGCCUGGCCUUUUUAAUCCAAUGUGGGACAGCUCUGAUGGGCCAUUUUCACUUCCAUUCAAGAAACUGUGCUGGGAUUUUUAAUUUAAUUUUUCUGUCUUUUUAAAGUGGAUGCAAUUCAUUAAAAAUUUAUGAAUAAUUAUUACUGAGCCAUAAAGUAUUUCUGAUCCAUUACCUCACUUGAAUAGAAGUGGGUUAAGAAUCAUUUUCUUUAGGAAACCCCAUUUAGAUAAUGUUUCCUUUUUUUUCUGCCCCCUCCCUAUGUGAUGUCAAAAGUUUGUAUAUUACAAAAGUUUAUUGAUCAGGAUGCUAAGCACUUGACGCUUCUAUUUUUUAAAAAUUGGAUUCAUAUAAUAUGUACUGAGGGUACAUGAUAGAAUAGAAAGCAUGUGAGCAUUAGAGUCAGACUGAGAAUUAAUGCCCCAGCAAAUAUAUGUAAAACACUUAGUACACGGCGAAUACUUAGUGAUAGUUUAAUUUUCUUUUUUAUAUUGUGUGUUACUAAUUCUGCUGGCACCUUCACAAUGUUAUCUCAUCUCCUUGCAUCCAUUCUUCCCAGCAACAUCUCGUCGUCUCCCCAACCAUUAAUUCCAAACUAUAGUCAAAAUGAUCUUUAAAAAAUGAAAAUCUGAUUGGUCUCUUCUCUGCUUAAAAUCCUAAGACUUCUUAUUGCUCUUAAGAUAUAGACCAAAAUUCUUCCAUCGGCCUUUAAGAACCUGAAUGUUCUGGCCCUGUUCACCUCUCUGGGUUCAUCUCUUAUAAGCCUGCUUUCCUUCAUUCUCUCCACUACAGCCCCUUUCACCUUCUUCUAGUUCCUCAUGUGUUUGUCGUGUCUCUGCUGUUCCCACCGCCUGGAAUGUUCCAUUCCUGCCCAUCUCUUCCCCUUGGUUAGUUAGCUCUUUCUCAUCCUUUAGAUCUCAGCCCAGGAGAGUCUUCUCUGACCUGCCACCCCUCCCCUCAGUUUAAAUCAUUGGUAUAUACUCCUGUACGACUAUGUUCCCUCACUUCGGGGCACUUAUCUAGAUUUGUAACUCAGCAUCAGUGUCAUCAAUUAAUUGGUUUCUGUCUUUCCCACAGGACUGAGUUCCCUGAAAGCAGGAAGCUUGUUACUGAAUUCUUAUAGCCUAGUUCAGUGAUUAGAUCGUAGUAGGUAGCCAGUAAAUAUUACACGGUUUAAUCAGCAAAAAACAGAGCAAGCAUGGCUUGCCAAGCAGUGCCAUGUCUGCACCCGGGAUCUGAACCGGCAAACCUCGGCCGCGGAAGCAGAACGUGCGAACUUAACCACUGCGCCACUACAAUGCCCCAGGUGCUGUGUGGAUCUUGAUCAAGAAGAUUAGCCCUGAACUAACAUCUGCUGCCAAUCCUCCUCUUUUUUGCUGAGGAAGACUGGCUCUGAGCUAACAUCUGUGCCCAUCUUCCUCUACUUUAUAUGUGUGGUGCCUACCACAGCAUGGCCUGACAAGCAGUGCAUAGGUCUGCACCUGGGAUCCGAACCGGCAAACCCCAGGCCGCCGAAGUAUAACGUGCGAACUUAACCGCUGUUCCACCGGGCCAGCCCCCAUACUGCUAAUUGUUGAACAGCUGUCUCUUUAAAGGAGAGAAAAAGCUGGGUUUAUGCUAACUGUUCCCUAAAAUCAAGAGUCCGGUCUACAUACAACCAACGAGAAGAAGGAGUGUGGUUAAGUGGAAAGAGGGAACCUAACUCACCAUCAGAAGAACUGAGGGAGAAGACAACCACACCCUCACUUCUGGAGGUAGAUCGUCAUUAGUUUAAGCCAAUCAACAGAUGACAUUCCUCUGGCUACAAUUGGUCCAGGGACUUAAAAAGGAAGCCUAUACUCCCAAUUGCCCUUGGCAGUCAUCUUUCAACUACAAGGGGAACCAGCCAUAGGAUGAACCCUAUGCCAAGAGGAACAGACACCUGAGACCUUGAUUAUGUCGUUGAGCUCCACCUGGAGCCUACAUUAGGAGGACUUCCUGUUAUAUAGAGUGUUAUGGACUGAACUGUGUUCACUCCAAAUUUGUAGGUUGAAGUCCUGAUCCCUAGUACUUUAGAAUGUCACUGUAUUUGGAGAUAAUGAAGGUUAAAUGAAGUCCUAAGGGUGGGCCCUAAUCCAAUAUGACUUCUGUCCUUGUAAGAAGAAAGAGAGACACUAGGGAUACAUGAGCACAGAUGAAAGGCCACGUGAGGACGCAGCAAGAAGAUGACCAUCUGCAAGCCCAGGAGAGAGGCCUCAGGAGAAACCAGCCCUGCUGACACCUUGAUCUUGGACUUCCAGCCUCCAGAGCUGUGAGGAAUAA